rnacentral:rRNA from 1 species
AACGAACGCUGGCGGCAUGCCUAACACAUGCAAGUCGAACGAGACCUUCGGGUCUAGUGGCGCACGGGUGCGUAACGCGUGGGAACCUGCCCUUAGGUUCGGAAUAAAUCCCCGGAAGGGGUGCUAAUACCGGAUAAUGUCUUCGGACCAAAGAUUUAUCGCCUUUGGAUGGGCCCGCGUUGGAUUAGCUAGUUGGUAGGGUAAAAGCCUACCAAGGCGACGAUCCAUAGCUGGUCUGAGAGGAUGAUCAGCCACACUGGGACUGAGACACGGCCCAGACUCCUACGGGAGGCAGCAGUGGGGAAUAUUGGACAAUGGGCGAAAGCCUGAUCCAGCAAUGCCGCGUGAGUGAUGAAGGCCUUAGGGUUGUAAAGCUCUUUUACCCGGGAUGAUAAUGACAGUACCGGGAGAAUAAGCUCCGGCUAACUCCGUG